ensembl:lncRNA
CUGACACGUUACAAAGCUGCGAACUUCAAAGCCGGGUUUAAAAGGUUCUGUUCUCAUCCAGCAAAAUAAGUUUGCUUUUUACAAUGCCGAAGAGAAAAUCCCAACAAAUUAGAGUGGAAUCUUAAACAAUGAAGCAGGCCCGACUCAGGAAUAAGGAACCAAUCAAUGCUAUCAACAUGGCUUCUAUCUGUCCUUAGGACUCUAAUCAUUUCCAGAUGAUAGCAUGCAUCUGAUUAGGGCCCUCUGGCAGCCCUCGCCUCCAUCAGGGCCCGGUGAAAAGGAGAACAAACAGGAGGCUCUGAAGCUGGAGUCCAAGAUUUCACUCAUCUGCAGGAUUCAGCUCAUCUGGUGGGCCUGCCAGGCAGUGCUACAAGUGGUCUAUUUGGGGUAGAACAUCAUCCUGGGCAAAGCCGCAUGGUCCCCAUCUCCACAUAACCGUCGAACCCAGUUCUGGAUGACUCCUGGCUGAGUCACAGGGAAAGAAGAAAGAGCGAAAAACAAAAAGCCUUUUCACUAAACUCUCUGAGAGACCUUGAGAGCCCUGCUUGGAAAUAAGAGUAUCAUAAAGGCACCUUCAGAUCAGCUUCUCCUACCCCGAACUGUGCCACCUCCUCUCAUCCCCAAAAUGGGCCAAGGCUGCCCUCCUUCCCCACAGUGCUGGCUGAGGCCUUCAUUUGACUUGGCCUUCAGAAGGCUUGGGGAUAACCAAAGGCACCUGCGCCCAGAGAAUUCUAAACAACUCUCAGCAUCCGAGUUUACCGCUGUGUCUCAGAGGCUGCCUCUCUGCCUCUCUGAAAAACCACGCAGUCUCCAGGCCCCGUAUCAUUUGAGGCCCAUAGAGAGGGGGAAAAAAAAUAAAACCUGUUUUGUUCUGUUCUGUUUAGUUUUAAACAGAAAUUUAAUCUCAGAGAUGCAGCUCUGCCCACCAAGAAGACAGUCUUGCUCGUUCCUCUGUAGAGUAUUCAUCCGUGGGUGUGGGGAGCCGCGCGUGCGCCUCUGGCUCCCCCAGGCCCAAGGGCACUUUGCUUUACCUUUGCAGGUCCGUGAGGCCCGAUAUAGAGGGAGUCUGCCCUCAGGGGACAACGGGGCUCCCUGCUGCAGAAAUAGACUGUCACAGCUUCAAUAACCCUCAUGAUCCUCCUCUAGCCACCAAGGUUUCAAAAAUCUUGAGGUCCUUUAUUAACCAAGGCACCCUAGCACACCUGUUUACAUCCAUUGUGCCCAGCUUAAGGCACAACAGCUGAAUUCAUUGGAAAGGACUUGGCCGCUUAUAACAGCUACUGCCAUGCCAAGUGUCUGAACAGAGUCCUGAUUGGCACAAACACCAGUCUGACCUCCCCAAAUAAUUGAAAGGCAGUUUGAAUCUGUUGUUGGGCUUCUUUGCUAAAAAGAAAACACUAAAGGGAAAUACAGCAAAACCUAUUUAAAUCCUCUUUCCCCUCCCCUCCCGGGCCUCUGCCCCAGGAUUCGCCCCUUGAGCUAUUCUUUUUCUCCCCCUUAAGUAGCUCCUUCUGGAAUGAACGACUCAAGGCUUCCUCUACUCAUCAGCCCGGGUGGGGGCAGCCAGGCUGGCAGAAUCUUCCCACAAAGCUCAGAGGAACGUAUGCCUACAGUUAGACACACUCCUGCUUUCAUUUUGUUGUUGUUCCUCUCACAUGUUAGGUUAAAUACCGAGAGGUAGUUUUUCCCAACAGUUAUCAAUAAACACAAGGUUGUCUCCCAUCAAUAUGACUAUACAGUCGCCCUUUCUGCUUGCCCAACUCAACUAAAUUUUCAUUUUACAAGAGGAAAAUAAACAGACUGUAAGAAGAGAAGAAAAGGGAAGAGAAGAAGAAAAGGGAGAAGAAGAAGAAAGGAAAAGAGGAGGAAAUGAAAAGAGAGGAAGUGAGGAAAAGUGAGAGAGGAGAGGAAAGAGCAUGGUUGAAGGUUUUCUGUGCCUUCUGCGGAAAAGCCUCGAGCUUGCUGGAGAGGGGUCCUCAAAGGCAGCCUGAUCCUUUCCCUGCACGUUCUGGUGAUCCCAAAAUAAGAUCAGUGGUAGAUGACAUUGCGCUUUCUCGAAACACCUUUCCGAGAACACCUCCCACCACGUGUCAAAACAAAUGAAAUUCCACAUUCCUGCUUGUAAAUAUUUUUCCCCGGCAAUAAAUGAAAGCUGUGAUUCCACAGAUACCUCACAGCUUAGCAUUCUUUAUGAGGUGUAUAAAUAAAACCCACAGCGUGAUUGCAGAGCUCCUAUCCUGGCGGCAUCGUUUUUAUCCUACGGGCGAGCACAUAUUUACAUAAUUCAAUUCAACAAAUACUGAUUGAAUAUACAUAGUAUGAUAUAAAUAUGUAUCAAUACGUAUGAGAACUAAAUGAAGAGAAGCUGGUCAGCAUCAGGCAGUGUGGGUGAGCCCCGACGGCGCCCCCCUCAAAUCCUGCAGCGGGAUCGGGCUGUCUAACUGGGGGGAACAGAUGUUACUUGAGUACCACCACAUUAUUCACCUAGCACUCCCCUGUGCCCGUCCCUGAUCCCACAGUGCGGAGGAUAAAUAAAAUCUGUGUUUGUGCAUUAAAUCAACAUGCAUUACACGCCUCUGAAAAUACAUAUAAGAUGCAGGAAUUGCAUCUUUAUUUCCAAACACAAUCGUUAUGAAAGUCUCUUAAAGAAAUUGGGGGAACCAUGGGGAAAUUUUAGCAUUUUUGACGAAGGAGAAAAAGGUUUCAAGUUGCAUCUGUUAUUUGAAUUCUUAGGCUGAGGGACUGACCUUUUGGAUAUUAGCAAAUACCUUUCUAAACUUAACAAAUUUUGCAAAGAAAAAGCCUAUAAAUGUAUUUAUUUCUGAAUCUGCACUGAAGGGAAAAUUAAAACUGCUCUGCAUUAGUCCGCUCUGGCUGCCAUGACAAAAUACCAUCGAAUGGGCAGCUUAAACAACAGAAAUUGAUUUUCUCACAGUUCUGGAGGCUUGAAGUCCAAGAUCAAGAUGCCAGUAGGUUUAGUUUCUGGUGAGGCCUCUCUUCAUGGCUUGGAGAUAGACGGCUGCCUUCUCACUGUAUCCAC